GGGGCUAUAGCUCAGUGGCAGAGUGCUUGCCUGGCAUGUAUGAGGCACUGGGUUCAAUCCUUAGCACUG
rnacentral:tRNA from 1 species